UACGUAGGGUGCGAGCGUUAAUCGGAAUUACUGGGCGUAAAGCGUGCGCAGGCGGUUGUGCAAGACAGAUGUGAAAUCCCCGGGCUCAACCUGGGAACUGCAUUUGUGACUGCACGGCUAGAGUACGGUAGAGGGGGAUGGAAUUCCGCGUGUAGCAGUGAAAUGCGUAGAUAUGCGGAGGAACACCGAUGGCGAAGGCAAUCCCCUGGACCUGUACUGACGCUCAUGCACGAAAGCGUGGGGAGCAAACAGG
rnacentral:rRNA from 1 species